GUGCACCAGGCGAGAAUACUUUACAAUGUGCGAAAGCACGAUAAGGGAACUCUGAGUGCCUCCUAAGGAGGCUGUUCAGGUGUCUAAAAAGCACCUGGAGUAAGGGCUGGGUAAGACCGGUGCCAGCCGCCGCGGUAACACCGGCAGCCCAGGUGGUAGCCACUUUUAUUGGGUCUAAAGCGUCCGUAGCCGGUUGAGUAAGUUCCUUGGGAAAUUUGGCUGCUCAACAGUCAAGCUUCCAGGGGAAUACCUGCUCGACGUUGGGACGUGGGAGAGGUCAGGAGGUACUCCGAGGGGGUAGGGGU
rnacentral:rRNA from 1 species